UGGCUCACAUAACGACAAAAACACUUUUUAUUUUGAAUGAAAUGUUUUGGAUGGGUAGCAAAAUGCCUCCAGCACCAGAAGAUUUUCCAUUACAUUCAAGAAACCACCUUCCUCCUACAAUUUCAUCUGGAACCUCAGCAAAUCCAAAAGAUGUUCAUGCUUUAAUACACAGGGUAAAGGUUGUAGAAGACCUUUUGGCUGUGUUCAUGGAUAGCAGCAUAAUUCAAUCUACUCUGAAGAUGGAAUUUGUAAAUGAGAAUGCUGUAGAUGAUGCAGGAGUGUACAGAGAAGUUUGCACUGCAUUCUGGGAUCAGUUCCUUGAACAAUGUGAAGGGGAAGAUGAGCGUGUUCCUCGACUGAGACCAGACUUCUGUGAAGCUGAAUGGGAGGCAGUAGGAAGGAUCUGGGUAAAAGGAUUACUUGACCUUGGUGUUCUGCCACUGAGGCUUUCCAGUGCUUUCAUUUUAGCAUGCAUGCAUGGAAUUGACUCAGUCAGUGAUGAUGUCCUGAUGUCAUCUUUCCACAACUACCUCUCUCUGACUGAACGAUCUGCCAUUGCAAAGGCUCAUCAUCGCCCACUGGAGGAAUGUGAUGAAGAGGAUUUGCUUUACCUCUUGAGAAGAAAGGGCUCUCAUUGCAUCCCUCCAAAAAACACCAUGGAAGUUGCCAUCCAAACGAUGGCUCAUAAAGCAAUUCUUCAAGAGCCCAAAUAUAUAAUAGAAUAUAUGUUCCUUGCGCAGAAACCCCCACCAGUACUCCAUCCUUCGGUUGGCCGUACUUGCACCAUCCAAAUAGCUGUCAAGAGUUUCAUCUGCAUGAUUGAUGUAAAGGAAACGCUGAUCCCCCCUAACAACUCUUGGGCAUCCUCCCAAACGCUCCACCGCUUCAAUAUAGUAACUGCCUAUUAGCUUUGGAUCGCUACUAGUUGUGUAUGCAUUAAGCCAGAUAAUCUUCCUCGAAAAGCCGUCAAUGCAACCAUUAAUACAAAUGCCGUAUGGUUUUAACUUAUCGUAUGAGUCCAAAUGCCAAAUCAUGUUGGGUCCCUUAGAAAAGUAGUCGUGCCGUCUGAGACGUCUGGCUCUCCUCACUGUAACUCCUGUAGGGUCCAGUUCCUUCAGCACCAAGCGCACAUCCUCUUGUCUCACACACAGACCCUUCUCUCUGCAUCUGGCGUACAUCUAUCAGUACCCAUGAAGUUGCCUAGAGGACUGCAGCUGAUUACGGAUGCAUGAAGGAAAAAUCGGAAGUAAACAGACACUCUCGUGGCCGCGAGUACAGGGCGUUGCACAGCUCAGUGAAGCACUCUUCCUCACCAUGUUAUACAUCUACCUCAACUACGAGCUCCAGCAACCAAAUUCCUGAAGCCCCAACCAAAGAGCGGCCUGAGUGGAGGAAGAGCCAGAGUAAAGAGUCUAAACGUCCAGCAUCCUGCUACUGCCACGCUGCCAUCUUGGAUUACUCAGUGACCACGAGAAGAUUUGAACAGGCCGACGUUGGCAGCCGAGAGAGAAAGGAGUUAUUGAAGACGGGGCACAGGAAGUCAAAUGAAGCGCAUAUCUCGGAAUGGAAACCCCAAAAAAUCUAGUUAUUUAUUUAUUAAUUAGAAAACUUGGUUCAGGGUGGGUUUCUUUUUUUCUUCAGAAAACUCUUUUAGUGUAUUUUUAUUUUGCAUUUUGGACAGUUUUUCCAUCGCUCUAGUACUACAACACUACUACUAUUGAUAUAAAGAGAAAAAAUAUGUAAACUUGAUCAUUCAGAUUUAAACAGUAUUUGAUUUUUGACAGCAAGGAGAUCGGGUUUAACUGGUUAAGUAACUCUUUCUGUGCUGCAGCUCUGGGCUUCCCGACGCUGCUGGUUCCCUGGGUGGCUCUACAGGAGCUGGACUCGUUAAAAAACAGGAAACUGUCAAAGGCCAGCUGUGGACUACAUCUACACCUCCCUGAAGAACCAAGAGCCGCGUCUCUGGAGCCAGUCCAUGCAGCAGGUGUCUCACGCUGCCUGCAGGCUGAACGUGGAGGAUAAUGACGAUCUGGUGCUGCAGUGCUGUCUCCAGUACAAGACGUUGUAUCCAGAGGGCACUAUCAUGCUGUGCACG